ensembl:miRNA
AAUGUGUCUCUUGUGUUAAGGUGCAUCUAGUGCAGUUAGUGAAGCAGCUUAGAAUCUACUGCCCUAAAUGCCCCUUCUGGCACAGGCUGCCU